GUCCAAGGAACGUACGGCUCUCGGUAAUGCCGGGAUGGAGGUGAACUUGGAGCGCAGCCCUGUGGCCCCAGCCCCUGUGACCUCAGGCAGACCGAGAAGCAGACCAAAAGGAAGGAGUUUGAGAACCAUCAGGGUGGAGGUGACACGGCUCCAUGGCUCCAAUCUGCACUCUGGGGAGCCUGGCUUCUGGACCCGGGUCCCCAACAGGCUCCCCUCUGGUUUCCACGACCAGGGAUCACGGGCUGGGGCGAGCGGAGGCGCACAGGGGGGACGCCAGUCCUUGCAGAGAGCC